AUGGAUAGAUGUCACGUGAGCGCCGCGUGCGAGUUGAACCUGAAACACUUCGUCCAACGCUUCGCGUGUCCCUCUUCGCCGCGGCGGCGCCCUCGCCGGCGUUGGCUCGCGAUGCGCCGCCUCCUCCGCCGCCGAAGCUUCAAGCCACCGCAGAGGAAAUGCCUACACGCGGCGUUCUCGACGGCGGCCUCCUCCGCGACGGCGACGGCGACGGCCGGGACCUGCGCCUACCGCCUGCUCGCGCUCCUCCGCGGCUGCGUCGCCCCUACCCACCUCCCGCUCGGCCUCCGAAUCCACGCGCGCGCCGUCACCUCCGGCCUCCUGGCGGCCGCCGACGGCCCCGCCGCGCUCCAGACGCGUCUCAUCGGCAUGUACGUCCUCUCGCGCCGCUUCCGCGACGCCGUCGCGGUCUUCUCGUCGCUGCCACGCGCCGCCGCCGCGGCGGCGCUGCCCUGGAACUGGAUCAUCCGCGGGCUCACCAUGGCCGGCCACCACCGCUUCGCCGUGCUCUUCUUCGUCAAGAUGUGGGCGCACCCCUCCGCGCCGCUCCCGGACGGCCACACCCUCCCCUACGUCGUCAAGUCCUGCGCCGCGCUCGGCGCGCUCUCCCUCGGCCGCCUAGUCCACAGCACCGCGCGGGACCUCGGGCUCGACCGCGACAUGUACGUCGGGAGCGCGCUGAUCAAGAUGUAUGCUGACGCUGGCCUCCUGGGCGGCGCGCGCGAGGUGUUUGACGAAAUGGACGAGCGGGACUGCGUCCUCUGGAAUGUGAUGAUGGACGGGUAUGUCAAGGCCGGUGACGUGACCGGCGCAGUGGGGCUGUUCAAAUCCAUGAGAGCGUCCGGUUGUGAUCCCAACUUCGCAACUCUGGCGUGCUUUCUCUCUGUGUGUGCCGCCGAGGCUGACUUGAUGUCGGGUGUGCAGCUCCACACCCUGGCGGUGAAGUACGGGUUAGAACCGACGGUGGCCGUGGCUAAUACGUUGGUGUCAAUGUACGGCAAAUGCCAGUGCUUGGAUGAUGCCUGGAGGUUGUUUGGUCUGAUGCCCAAGGACGACCUGGUAACCUGGAACGGGAUGAUAUCCGGGUGCGUUCAGAACGGGCUUGUCGACGAUGCACUGAGAUUGUUUUGUGAUAUGCAAAAGAGUGGUAUUCAGCCUGACUCAGUUACACUGGCAAGCUUGUUACCAGCUUUGACUGAUUUGAGCGGUUUUAAGCAGGGGAAGGAGAUGCAUGGCUACAUUGUCAGGAACUGCAUGCACGUGGAUGUCUUCUUGGUGAGUGCUCUGGUGGACAUAUAUUUCAAGUGCAGGGAUGUGAGGAUGGCACAGAAUGUCUUUGAUGCUACAAAGACCAUCGAUGUCGUUAUUGGUAGCACAAUGAUCUCGGGUUAUGUUCUUAACGGGAUGAGUGAAGCGGCGGUGAAAAUGUUCCGUUACCUAUUGGAACUGAGCAUCAAACCUAACGCUGUCGUGGUAGCUACCAUGUUGCCAGCAUGUGCUAGCAUGUCUGCUAUGAAGCUUGGUCAGGAGCUCCAUGGAUACGUUCUAAAAAAUGCAUAUGAAGGAAAGUGUUAUCUGGAGAGUGCAUUAAUGGACAUGUAUGCAAAAUGUGGUAGGCUUGACCUUAGUCAUUAUAUCUUCUCUAAUAUGCCUGCUAAGGAUGAUGUGACGUGGAACUCAAUGAUUUCAAGCUUCGCGCAGAAUGGGGAACCUGAAGCAGCUCUCGAUCUGUUUCGUCAAAUGAGUAUGGAAGGAAUAAAGUACAAUAAUGUGACCAUAUCUUCCAUCCUAUCAGCAUGUGCAGGCUUACCAGCUAUAUAUUACGGAAAGGAGGUUCAUGGUAUUAUCAUAAAGGGCCCCAUAAGAGCGGACGUGUUUGCUGAGAGUGCUCUCAUAGAUAUGUAUGGCAAGUGUGGAAACUUAGAAUUGGCUCUACGUGUUUUUAAAUUCAUGCCUGAGAAGAAUGAAGUCUCAUGGAAUAGUAUAAUCUCUGCCUAUGGGGCUCAUGGUCUUGUUAAAGAGUCAGUGAGUUUAUUAUCCCGUAUGCAAGAGGAAGGAUUCAAAGCAGAUCAUGUAACAUUCCUUGCUUUGAUAUCUGCUUGUGCUCAUGCUGGACAGGUUCAAGAAGGACUCCGGCUUUUUCGGUGCAUGACUGAGGAAUAUCAGAUUGCACCUCGAGUGGAACACUUAGCUUGCAUGGUUGGCUUAUAUAGCCGGGCUGGGAAGUUGGAUAAAGCCAUGCAGUUUAUUGCCGACAUGCCUUUCAAGCCGGAUGCUGGUAUUUGGGGUGCUCUUCUCCAUGCUUGCCGUGUGCAUCGCAACGUUGAACUUGCAGAAAUUGCUUCCCAAGAACUAUUCAAGCUGGAUCCUCAUAAUUCUGGCUAUUAUGUGCUCAUGUCCAAUAUCAAUGCUGUUGCUGGACGAUGGGAUGGUGUGUCAAAAAUGAGAAGAUUGAUGAAGGAUAAGAAAGUUCAAAAGAUACCUGGUUACAGCUGGGUAGAUAUUAACAAUACCAGCCAUUUAUUUGUUGCAGCAGACAAAAGCCACCCUGAUUCUGAAGAUAUUUACAUGUCUUUGAAGAGCCUUCUUCUAGAAUUAAAACAUGAAGGUUAUGUUCCCAGUGCAGACAUAUGUGAUAUGACGCAACCAGACAACAUUGACCAGGUAAUGGCAAUUUGAUUGCAAUGUUUCCGAAUGGAAGCUAUAUGAUGUGAUGGUGAAACAAUGAGAACUCCUUAUUGACAAAUUAUUGUACAGAGCAAAGCAAGCUUCUGAUGCAGUACAAUUAACAUUUGAUGUUUCCAUGUGAAAAAGUGGUUAACAUCGUGGUAUCAGUCUGCUGAAAGAAAAAAAACGUGAAAUACAUUAUACAUUCGGCUGAUGUUCUGGUUCAUAGUUUUUAAGCUUGAAUCUGAACAGGAGCAAUGUCGCAUGCUCAAGUUUGGCAUACUUUAUCUCAAGAUCAUUUUGGAAGCUUCUCGUAUCUGUGCAACAAGACUUUGGGGAUUUCUUGUCGCAUUGAGCAUUUUGUCCAAGAAUUGAAUGAACUGGCGAUCUUCAUGAGAAACCUGUGGAUUUCAAAAUCUACCGAUAUUAUCUUGGUCAUGCACCAUUACAGAUAAAGAGCAUUAAUAAAUAGGCAAACUCAUCAAAAGAAGGAACAUAUACAUGGUAUUUGUUCCUUCGGAGUAUUUUCAGAUCAUUUGGAAGCCUCUCACGCUGUAUCCGUGCAAGACUCUGGGGAUUUCUUAUCGCGUCCAGCAUCCUGUCCAGGAACUGAACGAACUGUCGAUCUUGAUGAGCAACCUGUGGAUCUGAAAACCUAUCGAGGGUAUCUUGAUCCUGCACCAUGAGGAGCAAAGCGCAUCGAUAAAUAGAUGAACUCUUCAAGAUAAGCAAUACGUUGGAGUAACAAACUAAUAACCAUGUACGGAAAAUAGAAGUGCAUAUCCAUUCAGAGGUAUGUACAGUGACCAUAUGUAGGUAACUGGAAUUUCAACAGUGCACUAGACACCUAACUUCAAAAGAAGAAAAAUCAGGGGUUCUCUUAUUAGAUCGGUGAAAGAAAACUGAGUUGAUUUCA